AAGGGAAUCAUUGAUCCAACAAAGGUUGU
rnacentral:piRNA from 1 species